UGGGGAAUAUUGGACAAUGGGCGAAAGCCUGAUCCAGCCAUGCCGCGUGAGUGAUGAAGGCCCUAGGGUUGUAAAGCUCUUUUGUGCGGGAAGAUAAUGACGGUACCGCAAGAAUAAGCCCCGGCUAACUUCGUGCCAGCAGCCGCGGUAAUACGAAGGGGGCUAGCGUUGCUCGGAAUCACUGGGCGUAAAGGGUGCGUAGGCGGGUUUCUAAGUCAGCGGUGAAAGCCUGGAGCUCAACUCCAGAACUGCCUUUGAUACUGGAAGUCUUGAGUUCGGGAGAGGUGAGGGGAACUGCGAGUGUAGAGGUGAAAUUCGUAGAUAUUCGCAAGAACACCAGGGGCGAAGGCGGCUCACUGGCCCGAUACUGACGCUGAGGCACGAAAGCGU
rnacentral:rRNA from 1 species